rnacentral:rRNA from 1 species
ACGAACGCUGGCGGCAGGCCUAACACAUGCAAGUCGAGCGGAUGACGGGAGCUUGCUCCUUGAUUCAGCGGCGGACGGGUGAGUAAUGCCUAGGAAUCUGCCUGGUAGUGGGGGACAACGUUUCGAAAGGAACGCUAAUACCGCAUACGUCCUACGGGAGAAAGCAGGGGACCUUCGGGCCUUGCGCUAUCAGAUGAGCCUAGGUCGGAUUAGCUAGUUGGUGAGGUAAUGGCUCACCAAGGCGACGAUCCGUAACUGGUCUGAGAGGAUGAUCAGUCACACUGGAACUGAGACACGGUCCG